rnacentral:snRNA from 9 species
ACACUUACCUGGCGUAGGGAUACCGUGAGCAUGCAGGCGGUACCCCCAGGGUGAGGCUGCUGCAUUGCACUGUGGAGUAGUGUGGAGUGGUUGACCCUUGCGAUUAUUUUUAUUUUUUAUAAGUUUCACAUCUACCGUGUGUGACUUGCACACACACACUUUUUUUUC